CCCUUAGAUGUUCUGGGCCGCACGCGCGCUACACUGAUGCAUUCAACGAGCCUAUCCUUGACCGACAGGUCCGGGUAAUCUUUGAAUCUGCAUCGUGACGGGGAUAGAUUAUUGCAAUUAUUAAUCUUCAACGAGGAAUGCCUAGUAGGCGCAAGUCAUCAGCUUGCAUCGAUUACGUCCCUGCCCUUUGUACACACCGCCCGUCGCUCCUACCGAUUGAAUGCUCAGGUGAGCCAUUCGGACUUUCAUCAUGCUGGUUUCCAGUUUUGAUGAAGGAAAGUCUUGCGAACCUUAUCAUUUAGAGGAAGGAGAAGUCGUAACA
rnacentral:rRNA from 1 species